CAGAGGUGAAUCUUGCCCAUAAUUAGGUUUUCUUUAAGCAUCAGCUAAUAAGCCAGCACUAGUCUUCGUAUGAUUCAUCUAAUCCUUUUUAGAAACGAAGCAGCACAGGAGAUGAAUGAAUGGUAGGCAGCGCCGGGUUUGUUUUCUUUCCCCUUGUCAGAUCAGCCUGAAGCGCUUUACAAACACUUCGGGACAGCCACAUGCGCAGAUGCCCAGAACUCCCUUUUCCUCUGAAGACUGUUUUCUUGCCCUCACACGUGCGUGCCUUUUUGAACAAAGCAUGCUUGAUGUGUGUGAGCUGUUUUCCUGCAGUGCCACCCCCGUCCCCCCCAUGGUGUUUGUGCAGACCCAAAGGAUGAGCGGGGCUGGACUCGGCACCAGGCACCGGCGGAGGCUGAACUUACAAGGAGCUGGAGGAGGGCUCGGGAGCUGGCGCUCAGCCUCGGUGCGGGAUUGCAGGGAGAUGGGGUCAUCGGCACGAGCCCACGGCAGAACUUCCUCUGGCAACGUGGGUUUAAAUGAGCCGCCCCUUACGCGUGCUUCAGUUUGUUUGCUUUGUCUGGAGGGCUGAAAUGCUUGCCUGAAUUCAGCCUGGCCAUUCUUAACUGCUGAGAAUAGCUUUCUAAAGAUGACCGAGAGUCAGCCCCAGCCUUCUGCCGGAGAGCGGAGCCUUGUGAUGCUGGAGGUCACCCAUGUCCAACAAGGCCCCAGCCGUGCACGGUGGCAAUUUCUGCUGUUCAGCCGUGGCCAGGACGCUGGGUGAGAGCAGCGCCGAGCUUGGUAGCGAUACGAGCUGCCAGCGUCCUCAGCAGGUGUUGGUGAUGGAUGGCAGAAAUGAAAUGAUACUGGAAGUCUGGGCAGCCAGCUGUAAAGUCAUCACCUAGGAAAGGUCAUGAGAGUAAUUUACACCAGAGGUUCCUGCUCUCAGAUCUAAGCACUAAAUAAAUGUGCUAGCAAGCAGGGAUGGAUU